GUUUGAUCCUAGCUCAGAUUGAACGCUGGCACGGAUGCUACAUGCAAGUCGAACGGCAGCACGGACUUCCGGUCUGGUGGCGAGUGGCGAACGGGUGAGUAAUGUAUCGGAACGUGCCUAGUAGCGAGGGAUAACUACGCGAAAGCGUAGCUAGCCCUGCCUCGCCCGCUGGGGGAAAGCGGGGGACCUUCGGGCCUCGCACUGUUUAAAGCGGCCGAUAUCGGAUUAGCUAGUUGGUGGGGUAACGGCUCACCAAAGGCGACGAUCUAACAGCUGGUUAGAGGACGACCAGCCACGCAGGACUGAGGCACGGCCCAGACUCCUGGGGAGAGCAGCGAGUGGGGAAUUUUGGACAAUGGAAACCUGAUCCAGCCAUCCCGCGUGUGCGAUGAAGGCCUUCGGGUUGUAAAGCACUUUUGGCAGGAAAAAAGCAGCACAGGAUAAUACCCCGUGCAACUGACGUUACCUGCAGAAUAAGCACCGGCUAACUACGUGCCAGCAGCCGCGUGCGUCGUAGGGUGCAAGCGUUAAUCGGAGAUUACUGGGCGUAAAGCGUGUUGCAGGCGGUUCGGAAGAAGAUGUGAAAUCCCGAGCUUAACACAGGAACUGCAUUUUUAACUACCGAGCUGAGUGUGUCAGAGGAGGUGGAAUUCCGCGUGUAGCAGUGAAAUGCGUAAGUAUGCGGAGGAGCUGAUGGCGAAAGGCAACCUCCUGGGAUAACACUGACGGCGCUCAUGCAGCGUGGGAGCAAACAGGAUUGAUCACCCUGGUAGUCCACGCCCUAAGUGUCAACUAGCUGUUGGGGCCUUCGGGCCUUGGUAGCGCAGCUAACGCGUGAAGUUGACCGCCUGGGAAGUACGGUCGCAAGAUUAAAGCUCAAAGGUGUGGGGACCCGCACAAGCGGUGGAUGAUGUGGACUAAUUCGAUGCAACGCGAAAAACCACCACCUACCCUUGACAUGUCUGGAAUCCCGAAGAGAUUUGGGAGUGCUCGCAAGAGAACCGGAACACACAGGUGCUGCAUGGCUGUCGUCAGCUCGUGUCGUGAGAUGUUGAGUUAGAGAUCCCGCAACAGGCGCAACCCUUGUCAUUAGUUGCACUACGAGGGCACUCUAAUGAGACUGCGGUGACAAACCGGAGGAAGGUGGGGAUGACGUCAAGUCCUCAUGGCCCUUAUGGGUAAGCUUCACACGUCAUACAAUGGUCAGGCCAGAGGGUCGCCAACCCGCGAGGGGAACAAUCGGCUCGAUCGUAGUCCGGAUCGCAGUCUUUGCACCUCGACUGCGUGAAGUCGGAAUCGCUAGUAAUCGCGGAUCAGCAUGUCGCAGUGGAGCCCGUUCCCGGGUCUUGUACACACUUGUCACACCAUGGGAGUGGGUUUUACCAGAAGUAGUUAGCCUAACCGUAAGGAGGGCGAUUACCACAGUAGGAUUCAUGACUGGGGUGAAGUCGUAACAAAGUGAAAG
rnacentral:rRNA from 1 species